GCCGCUUUCCUGCCGGGAGCCGCGCUCCGUCCCGUGCCGGCAGCGAGCGCGGGGUUCGGCCGCUCAAAGUUCGGCGGUGCCGUGGUUCGGAGGCGCUUUGGAGGCGUUGAUUGCAUCGCUGUGUUCGGUUUGCAGCGGGUGUACGCUAAGGGAUAUGGUGUUCUUCCUGAGUGGUACGGUUCUCGGUGCCGGUAGGGAUGAUAAAGAGGAUUUUUGAGGGCAUCGCAGCUGGUCUUCUGCCCGCCUUCCCCGCCCGCCCCAGAGCGCGGCAGCAGCGCAGCCCCCCCGCACAGGCAGCCGAGGGGCGGCGGCCAUUACGCGUCUCUGCCGCGGCGCAGGCGCGAUCGCGACCUUGGCAGCGGCUCGGCCGGGACGCGCUCGGGCGUCCCGAGAUGGCGGCACCAAGGGCGGGAGAAAGGAGCCGCGCGGCCCGUGCCCCGGACCGGCUGUUGGGCACCCCGAGGCCGCAGCGGCGGGAUUGUCCGUGAGCAGGGACGGAGAUGGACCCAGCCCAGCGCGUGGAAAUGGAUCUCUCCAGCUGAACGCUCAGGUGAAGUGAGCAGAGAGCAUGCCCAGCAUGAACCAGGUGACCUGCACAUCUCCAGGGUAAUGAUUCUUGCACCUUCAGAGCCACAGUAUCGCUGAGCUUUUUUUUUCCCCAGGCUUUUAAUCACCUCUCAAACAGACGAAUACUCCCCUUGGAGGCUGCUGUGCCCUGUGCACCGGGGAGCCUGGCAGGUGGCCCCGUUGGUGAGAGGAGGGCAGCUGCAAGCAGGCAGCCCCCAGGAAAACACGGGAGUUUCAGUGCUUUCUGAUGCCUGAGGAAUGGGGAGAUGGCCUGAGCUCAGCAGGAGUUAAGCGCGGCCAUACAGAGGCCUGGCUGUUAUGAUUUAAGAUCGCUUAUUGAAUGUCUGUAGUUUCUAUAGAUAUUUGUAUAUCUGUCAAAGUAGGAUAUGGAGCCUUGUGCAGGAGAAAAAGAACUCUUUAUGUAAGAUAUGACCUGGGGGGGGCAUCAUGCCAGGCUAUCCCUUCCAGAUUUGGAAGGCUUCAGUGUUUUGUGUGGCAUGAUGGGAAGUUUUGAAAAUUAAGAUUUUUCUCUUUGGUGCAGGUCAGAUGGGUGACGCCUGGCAGCUCGUGCACUGCCACUGUGCUAACCUGUGUGCCUUCCCUCCCUGCUCCACAGGCAGAGCAACACGGGAGCAGCAGGGAGAGGUGGCUUUGUCCUGGAGGUUCCAGGAGCUCGGGGUGGAUAUGCGAGCCUGCAGCUCCAGGCUGCCGCAGGACCCAAGGGCUGCACACACCCAGAGCGUACAGGUUCGCUCGUAUUGUAAUUUGCAAACGGCACGGCAAAUGCCACGAGAGCAGCUGCGGAAGGUGGCUCAGAAGCAAUGACAAGAAUGUGCUGCAAAGUUGGGUCCAGCAGUCCAGCUUCCCGACACGCCAAUUCUGAAGCACUGAGCAGAGCCGAUCUCUGAGAGCUGACACGGGAGCUCUGGUGAGGACAGCUGCUCCCCUGCCUCGGUGUGGGACCUGCUGAGCUGCCGUUCCUGUGGUGGGAGUGUUUCUCCUCUCAUCCAGGCAAGCCAGAGACCUCCUAGGGAAGGGGCAGCAGAGUGCAGCCGCCCAAGAAAGGAUUUUUUGUGGCUCAGCCAGAUGUUCUCCUGCCUCCCGCCAAGACCCUGAGAUGGAGCUGAGUUUGCAUUCCAAUUUAUUGGAACAGAGGCUCAUCAGAAGUUUCCUCAGCUAUCUGAGGCACAGAGCCCUGGAGCCAAGACAGCGUGAAGACUGAAAUUGUAAGAAGAUGUGGAGGGAAACAGAGAAUCUGACGGGAGCAUCGAACGCACAAGUGCACAAAUUUUGCUUGGAUUUAAACUCAGAAGUUGUAAGGAAUUUGGGAAUGAGAAGGGACAUUUCAGAAGGAGAAGAAGUUGUUGUUACAGUCCUGGCAUAAUCUUUUGUUCUAGCUAAUAAAGGAAGUUAGUUUAAAUUAAAAAAAAGAAAAAAAUGUGGGGUUUUUUUCUUCACUAUUAUAUUCAUUGGUGGUAUAUGGUGUGUUGUUUUAUUUCUUGGUAUUAUUAACUCUGUGUAAAUUGUUUUUGGAGUGAAGCUAACUUUCUGGAUGGGUUGGUUUGUAUUUGAGGUAGGAUUAAUUACAAUAGGUUUCUUUAAUAGAGUUCUGAUAGGUAUUACUUGGGUUUUGGUUUUGUUUGCUGUAUAUAUAAACAUACACAUUUGGUAGGGCCAGCUUGGCUGCUGGAGUUUAGCAAAUGACCUAAAUUGUUUUUUUGUUACAUCCUGUGAUCAGUUUUAGGCAGUGACUUUAUACUGCUUUUAGGAUUUUCUUAUGCAAUGGUGAGAAAAUAGGCAGGUCUGAUACUUGUUUGACUUUUUUUGUACUUAAUGUUUCAUGAAAUUCUGUAAGCCAAGCGAUCUACUGGUUAAACUAUACCAUCAACUCUUCCUCAUUCCUUUGGGCCUAGAUUCCCCAUUUCCCAUGUCUCUCUGUCUACUUGUUAUCAUACCCAGCUAGGCCUCCUGUGAACUGGUCUUGCCAGAAGGGCUUGCUGAGUUUUCCACUGUGUGGAAAAGAGAUCCCAUUUGGAGCCUGAAGCCUCGUGUUUCCUGUAGGAUUUCCACUCCUAGAAUUGCACACUUUGAAGGAUUUCUUAUAGCAGAAGUUUUCUGGGAGCUAGGACUCUGGCUGGAUUAGGGUCUCUGGACUCUCAGGUGAAGUGACCUUGAGACACUAGGGCAUGCAGAUUUCCUUGCUGUUGAAAAGAGCUAUUGUUGGCACCCAGGAGCCAUGGUCUGAAUGGGGGUGUCACCUCUUAAAUUUGCAAAUGUAACAGGAUUUCUUCUAAAUGAAUGGUGCUAAGAACAUAAGGUCUGGCUGGCUUUCGACUUAGAGGCGCCUCCUCUAAAUUGGUCUUCAGAUGCUAGGUUGGAAAGUGUUCCUACAUAUGCCAAAUAGCCCUUGUUAUGCAGUUAAUAAGCUUCAAAGUACACAUGGAGUUGCUGCCCCUGCAAAGAUUUUGGCAGAGCCUGGUUGUGGUGCCCCAUUCCACUCCACCCCCCUUAGCAGGUCCUUAUGGUUGUAUGGGGAAUCGUUGUGGAGCAUGCCAACCCAGCUCCAUCCUGGGAACAGCACCUGUAUUUUACCCUAAAAUUUCUGUCCCAUUAUAGCUCCUGUUAGGAUACAAAUGUAACUCGGUUUCCACUGAUUUUACCCCCAGUCAUCUUUCCAUACAAACAUUGCUCCGCUCUCCAGAGGAUUAUUGUGAGCAGAUGUGAGCUCUGCUGUCCCUUUGGACUGACAAAGGCAGAGGUUUUGUCCCAAGUUCCUUUUGAACCUGUCUUGCACCUGUUACGAGUCCUCAGUCUCCUGCAAUUUUGUGGGUCAGUGACAUGUAAAACAGCACAGCUGGCUGGCAUGCUUUGCUUAUGAGGGGAGACAAGAGAAGAAUCCCUCUGCUCACACCAGACCUGCAGCUGCCAAACCUCACCAAAGCACCUGAGGAGCCCCCAGGGACUGAUGGUACAGAAGGGAGGUGAUGGAGGACAGCACAGCAGGCAGCCUGCCCUCCAUCUGGGUGUGAAGAAGGCAGGGCUGGGAACUAAGCAACAUCCCAGCAGGUCUGGCUGAUGGUGCCACCCUGAGGGCUUCCCCUGCCUUUGGGCAGUCCCAGCUGCUGCAGCUCACUUGACAGAGACUCAUUGUCUAUACUGUGCUUGGCUGCACUGGAGAUGAUGAAGCCGAGGACAGCAAUGGUUGCCUUCGCAUCCCCUGACUGCAGAUGGGAAGGAGGGCAAGCUCUGUCACCUUGGGAAGGCAUCUGCAGAUUCAUUGCUGCCCGUCUCUGGAGCAUGGCUCCAUCGGGGGAUCGUGGUAAGGACAGCAGUGCUCACCUAACUCUGCACCUGAGGACAGCUUCAGGACCUUGUCAUACUGUGGGAGAGCAGAGCUUCACAGUAAAUACCAGCUAACAUACUUAGUACCAGUGUUAACACUAACAAUCCUUACCUAAAUAUUAAUACUAGUAACACUAUGCGUAUUAUUAGAGGCUGGUAGAGUUCUUAAGGCUGAGGCUUGCAUGAAGAACACAAAAUUAAUUAACGUUGCUGAUUAUGCUAUUGUGUUGAAAUACUUGGCCUCCACUGCAGUAGCCCCACACUAACCUCGAUGGCCUGCCCCAGCAGGUCCCAAAACACCUGGAUGCAGAUCAGCUUAAGCUUCACUGAUGUGAUAAACAGAGUUCAUUCUUUAAAAUUUUUAAAAGUUUAUUAAAGGAUAAAAGGACAAAAUAA